rnacentral:rRNA from 1 species
CGCGUAGGCGGUCCGCUAAGUUGGAUGUGAAAACUCUGGGCUUAACCCAGAGCCUGCAUUCAAAACUGACGGGCUAGAGUUCUGGAGGGGGUAGCGGAAUUCCUGGUGUAGCGGUGAAAUGCGUAGAUAUCAGGAGGAACACCGGUGGCGAAGACGGCUACCUGGACAGAAACUGACGCUGAGGCGCGAAAGCUAGGGGAGCAAACA